GCCGUUGUAGCUCAGUUGGCAGAGCACAUCCAUGGUAAGGAUGAGGUCACCAGUUCAAUCCUGGUCAACGGCUCCA
rnacentral:tRNA from 1 species